rnacentral:rRNA from 1 species
CNCGGUUACGAAAUUCGCCCCUUAGAGUUUGAUCAUGGACUCAGGAUGAACGCUAGCGGCAGGCUUAACACAUGCCAAGUCGAGGGGCAGCAUGUCCAGCAAUGGAUGAUGGCGACCGGCGGAAGGGUGCGUAACGCGUGAGCAACAUGCCCUAUACAGGGAGAUACACCAGGGAAACUUGGUCUAAUAUCCCAUAGCAUUCAUUGAAGGCAUCUUUAAUGAAUUAAAGCUUCGGUGGUAUAGGAUUGGCUCGCGUGACAUUAGCCAGAUGGUGAGGUAACGGCUCACCAUAGCAAUGAUGUCUAGGGGUUUUGAGAGGAAGGCCCCCCACACUGGGACUGAGACACGGCCCAGACUCCUACGGGAGGCAGCAGUGAGGAAUAUUGGACAAUGGAUGGAAAUCUGAUCCAGCCAUGCCGCGUGCAGGAAGACGGCCUUAUGGGUUGUAAACUGCUUUUAUACGGGAGCAAUAAGGGUUACGAGUAAUCCGAUGAGAGUACUGUAUGAAUAAGGAUCGGCUAACUCCGUGCCAGCAGCCGCGGUAAUACGGAGGAUCCGAGCGUUAUCCGGAAUUAUUGGGUUUAAAGGGUGCGUAGGCGGCCAUUUAAGUCAGCGGUGAAAUUUUGCAGCUUAACUGUAACAGUGCCGUUGAUACUGUUUGGCUAGGAUUUGGCUGUAGUGUGCGGAAUGUGUGGUGUAGCGGUGAAAUGCUUAGAUAUCACACAGAACACCGAUUGCGAAGGCAGCACACUAAGUCAUUAUUGACGCUGAGGCACGAAAGUGUGGGGAUCAAACAGGAUUAGAUACCCUGGUAGUCCACACUGUAAACGAUGAUAACUCGCUGUCGGC